rnacentral:rRNA from 1 species
GACGAACGCUGGCGGCGUGCUUAACACAUGCAAGUCGAGCGGAAAGGCCCUUCGGGGUACUCGAGCGGCGAACGGGUGAGUAACACGUGAGUAACCUGCCCCAGACUUUGGGAUAACCCUCGGAAACGGGGGCUAAUACCGAAUAUUACUUCCGGUCGCAUGGCUGGUGGUGGAAAGUUUUUCGGUUUGGGUAGUGGACUCGCGGCCUAUCAGCUUGUUGGUGAGGUAAUGGCUCAUCAAGGCGAGGACGGGUAGCCGGCCUGAGAGGGCGACCGGCCACACUGGGACUGAGACACGGCCCAGACUCCUACGGGAGGCAGCAGUGGGGAAUAUUGCACAAUGGGCGGAAGCCUGAUGCAGCGACGCCGCGUGAGGGAUGACGGCCUUCGGUUG